rnacentral:piRNA from 1 species
UUGCGAUGGCCCUCGCGGGUGUUGAC